AGCAGGGGCUUUAAAUAGCAAACUCAAAUAAAGUGAGAGGAGGCCGGGGAUCAGAGGCUGAGAGGGACUCUGUGAGCGAGGCAUUCCCCAACGGAAGCCGGUCUUUGGAUUUCCAAACAGCAUUCGGAGCCAGCAAUGCCAGGAAUGUGAAGUCGUCCAGCAACGCUGGCGGCGGCCGCGGCUGUGAUAACCACCGCGCAACCAGGUGCUGGUGUGUUGCCUGACAGGAAGUGCGGCAGGAAGUGCAAGCAGAGGUCCAGCUUAGGGACAAAAUGGCGGCAGGUGACUCAGCAGAAAGCGGAACAGGAGCCAAACUGAUGAUUGCUGUCAGUGAGCAGAUUCUCUCUCGGGCCUUUUCCAAGCUUCCAUCAACCCCGACAAAUCUCCGAAUCGCUGAAAAGGCUGUGGGAAAGUUUCCCGUAAUGGUGAGGUCAUCCACCACCACCAACAACACCCCCCACCCCCGACGCAGACACACACACACACACACACCAUCACUACACUCCCCCCGCCACCCCCCAUGCAGUCCCCCUUUCUCGAGGCCAGGCAGAACUGGGAUGCUCUCUCAACAGAGACCAGGAACCUGAAUAAAGCCUCAUUCAAAAUUGGUAUCUGAUGACUUGGCCUCUAAAAGCCUCAACCGGCACACUAGAGGCUGGAGACAGACAGAUCAGCAGAUCUAUGAGGCAACUGGAGGCCUAUCUGGCAUUUAAACCACCUUUUUGUCUCUGUCAUGUGAACAUCCCGGAUGCUUUGUCUCAAACACACACAAACAUACAUAUACACACACACACACACACACACACACACACACACAGACACAAGCUUGGACCUACUUUGACAUUGCCAAGUUUAUUCUAAAGGGUAGCUCUUCCUUCAUGUGUGGACCUGCUCGGCUUCUUGGUGUAACACUAGUCUGAGUAUAACAGAAAGAAAGAAGAGAAUAACCGAAAAAUGUCAAAUAAAUAACUAAAUGUUAUGUCCAGAAAGGGAGGAUAUUCAAAAUAGCUUCAAGUCUCGUGCAGGGUAGUGCGAGCUUAAGCGAUCGGUUCUUGGAUUCAUUAUGUGACCAUUUGGUGGCUGAUUACUGCCAUCUAUUAGCCAAACUGUAAACUACAACUUUAAAGGGUCAGCUCGCCACAGUUCGACAACAGCAUAUUCUCUCACAUCUAGUUAAUUUAGACAUGCAAAUAUAGUUCUAGUGUUGUUUGUCGAGGUUUUGAAACACUUGUUUUAAACUUGCAUGUCUUAUUGUCAAUGAAAUGAUCCUGAUAACACGUAUUGUGUGAGUUUUAAAGCCUGAUGUAUCUUCUUCCUCUGUGUCCUUAGGCUCCAUUGUUGUCCAGAAACUAUUAAAAACACAUCAAUGAGUCACACUGUUGCGGUGCGUGACAGGUUCCUUCAUCACUGUGAACACACACACUAGUUUAUUCGGACAAUCCCACAAACAUCGUCCUGCUGCCCCCAAUACCGACUCACUUAAAAAUUAAACUAUAUAUACAGAGAUAUAUAUAGUUUCAUUUUGACGAAUUUCAUUUUAUAUGGCCCAUCCUUUAAAACACACGUGUGUGUGUGUGUGUGUUUUAAAGAAUGGCAUUGGGCAAGGAGAGCCACCGACAGGGAUGUUGGAAAGUUUUCAUUAAAAUGUAAACCCCAAAUAACCUUUUCCUAUGAUAAACCACAGGGGAAAAAGAUUUGUGGCAGAAAUCUCAGCGAUUUAUACCUCAAAGCCAGGACAAAUCUUCUGUGUGAUCAGUGUUUUGAUCGAACAGGAUGUGGAUAAUACUAUCUGUGUACGUUGCUUCGAGCCUUUUGGCCUGAAUAAUUUCUAAUAUGUUUUUUUUGUUGCUUGUGUGAAUCCAAGAAGUGUCACUGUGACUAUAUUAACUUAAUUUCAGAUCUUGUAGCGAUCAUGAUGAGGGUUGCGUCACCAGCAAAUAGUUUUUUAUAUCCAUUUGUUAUUAAUAAACAUUAAAAAACGCUGAUCACAAAAACAAAACGUGGUCAAAUAAAACAACAAUCUGGAAGGCUGGAUGCCGCUGGUAGUAAAUCAGAAAAUGUGUUUUCCUUUAUGUGAAGUUGGCGAACCAACGCGUUAAUGUUAUCCUGAAAUUAGAGACGCCUCGAUGAAUGACCAACGUUCAUGUACAAAACAAGACAAACAGAGGAAAGGAAAUAAUGCUGCGGUGCACUUGAAGUGUGACAUUUCUCACAGUGACUGUAUCUGAUCUCUUAUCAGAGAAAAUCCAAAAAAUGUUUUUCAUGGCACAAUAACUGUACACUGUAUUGAGUGAUGGUAAAAGGAACAUAUUGACAUCUAUAUUAGUAAUACAAUGAGUAUACAUUCCAAGGUUCACUGCCUUUAAACCUAAUGUACAGCAUGUUAAUAUACAAAAAUAUAUGACACGUAUAUUUAGGAAAAAGAAAGACUUUUACACAUCUGUAAAAAGGGAUAAAUACUAUAAACACAACACAAUAAAUCCAUCUUAAGUACAAGGCGACCACGUUACUGGCUUUGUCAUGUGACGAUAUCAUUGGCUUUGUUUUAACAUACAAAAAUGGGCCUGUGGCUUGCACACAAGGGAUGUUCAUACCUGAUUUACACAUUAAAAGCUUUUAGAAUUAUAGACAUACUAAAAAAAAUUCAUGUGCCGAAUAUCAGAUAUUCUCCAGGUUUGAGCAGAAGUAAAUGUGUUGUAUUUUCUGGCUAUGACUGCCAGCAGAAAGCAAAGUAGGUAUAUAGUAUAGUACAUUUAGAGUAUAUUUGAACAUACAAUCUGAUUAAUUAGAAAUCUGGUUGUUGUACAAGAUGGGAAAAAGGUCUGAUGCUAUAGAGAUUUUAUUUUUUUAAAUCCCAAGGAUCCAUCUUAAAGCCUCCUGCUGAUGAGUUUAACGUUAUACAUGACGGCCGUGGCUCCCUCUGGUGGUCGUUUAGUGCUGUCAGGACACAAUGCACACGCUCCUCCGUGAGAGGAUGGACCAGCAGGACCAGGUGCUGGAGUGUGUGGGUUCAUAGUGUUUUGGCUCUUGGGAGGAAGAGUUUGUUUAUUUUGUAUUUUUUUAGAUCCACACUCAUAUUCAUACAUUGUCAGGGUUGGCAGUUGAUC